AGUGAACGCUGGCGGUAGGCCUAACACAUGCAAGUCGAACGGCAGCACAGUAAGAGCUUGCUCUUACGGGUGGCGAGUGGCGGACGGGUGAGGAAUACACCGGAAUCUACUUUUUCGUGGGGGAUAACGUAGGGAAACUUACGCUAAUACCGCAUACGACCUACGGGUGAAAGCAGGGGAUCUUCUGACCUUGCGCGAUUGAAUGAGCCGAUCUCGGAUUAGCUAGUUGGCGGGGUCAAGGCGUACCAAGGCGGCGAUCCGUAGCUGGUCUGAGAGGAUGAUCAGCCAGAUGGGAGCUGAGGAAGGGUCCAGACUCCGACGGGAGGAAGCAGCCGGGAAUAUUAGGGGAUGGGGGAAAGCCGGAUCCUGCCAAACCGGGGAAAGGAUGAAGGAGUUCGGCUGGGUAAGUCAUGAAGGUCGGAAAGAAGAGAAGCACUUUAAUCCGGGGCGAUAAUGACGGUACCCAAAGAAUAAGCACCGGCUAACUUCGUG
rnacentral:rRNA from 1 species